rnacentral:rRNA from 1 species
UACGAACUGUGCGAACGUUAUUCGGAAUCACUGGGCUUAAAGGGUGCGUAGGCGGUUUUCUAAGUCACGUGUGAAAUCUUCUGGCUCAACCAGAAAACUGCGCGUGAAACUAGUCAACUUGAGUGAGGUAGGGGUGUGUGGAACUUCCGGUGGAGCGGUGAAAUGUGUAGAGAUCGGAAGGAACGCCAGCAGCGAAAGCGGCACACUGGGCCUUUUCUGACGCUGAGGCACGAAAGCUAGGGGAGUGAACGGG